CCUACGGGUGGCAGCAGUGAGGAAUAUUGGUCAAUGGACGAGAGUCUGAACCAGCCAAGUAGCGUGAAGGAUGACUGCCCUAUGGGUUGUAAACUUCUUUUAUAUGGGAAUAAAACGUUCCACGUGUGGGAUUUUGUAUGUACCAUAUGAAUAAGGAUCGGCUAACUCCGUGCCAGCAGCCGCGGUAAUACGGAGGAUCCGAGCGUUAUCCGGAUUUAUUGGGUUUAAAGGGAGCGUAGGUGGAUUGUUAAGUCAGUUGUGAAAGUUUGCGGCUCAACCGUAAAAUUGCAGUUGAAACUGGCAGUCUUGAGUACAGUAGAGGUGGGCGGAAUUCGUGGUGUAGCGGUGAAAUGCUUAGAUAUCACGAAGAACUCCGAUUGCGAAGGCAGUUCACUGGACUGCAACUGACACGGAGGCUCGAAAGUGUGGGUAUCAAACAGGAUUAGAUACCCCAGUAGUC
rnacentral:rRNA from 1 species